AUUGAAUUAAUAAUGACUUCACGGGCCUUAAUUUCUGUGUCUUUCGUUUACCAAAAUCAAAACGCAUACAGUUUUUGGAACGGUUGACUUGUAAACAAACUCUCCGAUGCUUCUUUCGAAACAAUAGCAAUCGUUCUUCGUGAGCUGGAGAUUGCUGAUAUCACUUGUGCUUACUUCUGAAGUGGCUUGAAAACCUCAACGAUUUAAUUUCUGCUGGUGAUCCCGUGGACUGUGGGGAGUUGGUCAGCCAGUACUGUAGAGUAUCACGAGUGUUUAGAGAAUCAUGGGUAACUGUUUUUCUUUUGCUCGUGAUCACAUGAAACGUCUGAAGUUGCUAAUGAAUGGCUUCCUUUCUCGUGAUGAUCAAGCGAUGCAUCUACAUUUGCUAAAGGAGGACUUGCUUUCUCUUACUGGUGAUGAUCAUGUCAAACAUCCGAAGUUGCCAGAGAAGGAUUUGAUUUUUCCUGCUGAUGAUCAAGUGACACAUCUGGAGUUAACAGAAAAUGACUUGAUUUCCCCUGCUGGUGAUCAAGCGAAACAUCUGGCAUUGCCAGAGAAGUAUUUGACUUCUCCUGCUGAUGAUCAAGUGACACGUCUGGAGUUGCCAGAGGAUGAUCAUGUCAAACAUCUGGAGUUGCCAGAGAAAGAUUUGAUUUCUCUGGCUGAUGAUCAAGCGAGACAUUUGGAGUUGUCAGAGGGGGACUUGCUUUCUCCUACCGAUGAUGAUCAUGUCAAACAUCUGGGGCUGCUGGAGAAUGACUUGAUUUCUCCUGCUGAUGAUCAAGUGAAACAUCUGCAGUUGCCAGAGGACUUGCUUUCUGCUGCUGCUGAUGAUCAUGUCAAAUAUCUGGAGUUUCCAGAGAAGGAUUUGAUUUCUCCUGCUGAUGAUCAAGUGAAACAUCUGGAGUCGCCAGAAAAUGACUUGAUUUCCCCUGCUGGUGAUCAAGCAAAACAUCUGGAGUUGCCAGAGAAUGGCUUGAUUUUUCAUGCUGAUCCAGUGCGACAUCUGGAAUGGCUAGAAAAUAAUUGUGAUUUCAUUGUUCCUAUUAAGGAUCAAAUUCAAACCCUUAAAGUGGAGUUAAGAUUUCUGAGAACAUAUCUCAAGGGGUUGCAAGGGAAGGACCCAAAAUACAGUCUUGGGGAGCCAUUCAAAGGUUUUCUUGGAAAUGCAGCAUCUGAACUUUUUUCACUGUGCCUUGGACAAUCAAGGGAUAGAAGCAUAACCAGAGACUUAGGGAUUUUAAUUUCUACGAUGCAGGAAAAAAUGUACCAGUGGAGGCCAGCUAUCAAAAGAAAUUAUCUCAAUGCCUAUUUUGAUUCAAAAAGAAACGAUCCGGUGAAGAAUAAACUUGUGAUGGAAUUGGUUGAUUCUCUUCUAGAGAAUCUGAAGGAUCUCCAAAGCAGUGAGAACAAUUCGAUUGUAUUAGUGAAAAGCCAACUUGAAGCCCUUGAAGAGAAGCUACUAUUCAUCAGAAAUUUUUUCAGGUUUUCCACAAUGCGGAUCCCAUCUCCUUGGCUGGUUGGAUUGGGAGAUUCUGGGGAUGAUAACAAACGUGAGAUACUUGAAAGCCUUUUAACUCGUAUAGAAUAUGUUGCUGACAAUGCAGCAUUUUUGUCUUACUGCUGUUUAGUUGACAAAGAACAUGAAAAUGUGCGUUUGAAGUGUAACUUCUUUUAUUUGGUAUGGAUGAUCGAGCAUAUUGAGCCGGAAGUCAAAGAGAUAUGUGUCAGAUUUCUAAAAGAAUUUGAGCCCUUAAAUCUUGAAAUUCUUCCAUUCAAUUUGUAUAAAGUGGUGGCGAUUGAUUCUCUCCUGGACAAUCUGGUGAUGCUACAUAACUGUGAGUCGCAUUUUAUGGCUCCUGUAAAGGAUAAUUUGUUAAUACUUUAUGACGAGCUGAUAUUCUUGAGAACCUUCCUCAUGGAUCCUCCACCAAGGAAGAAUACAGAGAAUGAGAAAAUGGAUAGCCUCUUGAAUAAUGUUGAACCUUUGUUUAGUGAGGCAGGAUCUGUCAUUGGUUCAUUUUUGGACGAAUUGGAAAUUGACACUGCCAACAAAAUGAACCUUUCUGCUUUGCUAGAGAAGAUUAAUCUCAUUAAGUCAGAGGUCAGAGAUCGUUAUACCAGAAGACUAAAUCAUUUGCAAUCGAACUCCCUUGGGAUUGAUGGAGUUGGUUACACUGAACCUUUGUUUAGUGAGGCAGGAUCUGUCAUUUGUUCAUUUUUGGACAACAUGGAAGUUGACAAUGCCAUCAAAAUGAACCUUUCUGCUUUGCUAGAGAAAAUUAAUCUCAUUAAGUCAGAGGUCAGGGAUCGUUACACCGGAAGACUAAAUCAUUUGCAAUCGAACUCCCUUGGGAUUGAUGGAGUGGGUUACAUUGAUUCCCUCUUGAAGAAUCUGGUUGAGUUACUGAAUUGUCAGGCAGAUUCAAUUGUUAUUUUAAAGCAUCAAAUUGAAUUGGUUCAUGAUGAGCUCAAUUCUCUGAAAUCUUCACUCGAGCAUAUUAUAAGGAAGAUUGAGAAGCAGUACCUGAAAGAUCUUAUGAAGCAUGUUAUGGAUGUGGCUCACAAGGCAGAAUAUAUUAUAAACUCUUAUGUGGUCAGAGAUUGUCCCGUAUGGAAUCAUAUGCUGUGGAUUUCCGAUCUUCUUGAAGAGAUUAAGCUUAUAAAGGAGAAAAUCAAACAGAAAAUUAAAGACAAAAGCUCUUUCACAACGGAGACGAAUGUUAGAAAGACUACCCCUCUCCGGUCUGCUCAGGCUCACACUGAAGUAGUGAUUGGUUUCAAGGUUGAAGCCCAAGAAAUUAUUGAGCAGCUUAUUGGAGGACCGAAACGGCGAGAGAUCAUCUCAAUUGUAGGUAUGGCCGGUCUUGGUAAAACGACUCUGGCCAAAAAAGUAUAUAAUGAUCCAUCAGUUACCCAUUAUUUCGAUGUGCGUGCCUGGUGUUGUGCUUCUCAAGCAUAUCAAAGGAGAGAGCUUCUGCUUGACAUAUUAAGUCAUUUUAUGGAGCUCACUGAUACAUCCUACCAAAUGAGCGAUGAAGAUUUAGCUUUGUCACUCUACAAAAGUCUAAAUGGAAUGAGGUAUCUUAUUGUCAUUGAUGACGUGUGGAUUAUCGACCCAUGGGACGAUUUGAAACGAAUUUUUCCAGAUGACCAAAUCGGAAGCAGAAUUAUGAUCACAAGUCGAAUUGAUCAUGCAGCUUUGCAUACUGAACAUAAUAGCUCUCCACAUUUUCUUCCACUGUUCUCUGAAGCAGAAAGUUGGGAAUUAUUACAGGCAAAGCUAUUUCAGCAAGAAAAAUGCCCUAUGGAACUGGUGGAAGUUGGAAAGGAAAUAGCGAGAAAAUGUAGUGGGCUACCUCUUGCUGUUGUCGUAAUAGCUGGACUGCUUGCAAAGAUGGACAAGAAGAAUGAUCAGUGGAAAAAAGUAGCUAAAAGCUUGAGUUCUUUAGUUAGUGAAUCAAGGCAGUAUAUGGACAUGUUGGAACUGAGUUACAAUCAUCUGCCUCAUCAUCUAAAACCAUGCUUUCUUUUCUUUGGAGCAUUUGCAGCUAGCAAAGAAAUUUCAGUAAAUAAGCUGUUACGGUUAUGGAUCGCUGAAGGAUUCGUUCAAAAAAGCAAGUUGAAGAGUGUAGAAGAUACAGCAGAAGAUUACCUGAUGGAUCUCAUUUGUCGAAGCCUUGUAAUAGCAGGCAAAAAAAGAUCUAAAGGAGGGGUGAAAACAUGUCAUAUUCAUGAUUUAUUACAUGAUUUGUGCAUGGCGAAAGCCAAACAAGAGAACUUUUUGAAGCAGAUAAAUGGGUAUGAUGAGCUUUAUGCUCCUUAUUUCGGGGGUUUUGAUGUUCAUUCUUUUGUUUAUACACUUCCUCAGAAAAUUCGGCUAUCCAUUUACUGUAGCCGGAAUGAUAUUAUUGCAUGGAAACCUGCUAAUAAACAAGUCUGCACUCUACUGUAUUUUGCUACCGAUGAUAGGUAUUCAGAUUGGACCUAUCCUUGGGAUUUCUCAGCCAUUUCCUACAGCUUGAAACUUCUUAAAGUGCUGGAUUGGAGCUCCAUCAGUUUUGGUGAUAUUUUUCCUUCUGGAAUACAGUUUUUAGUUCAUUUGAGGUACUUGGGAGUUAGAGGUGGUAUGAAUUCUAUCCCUUCAUCCAUAUCGAAUCUUGUGAACCUUGAGGUUCUUUUUGUGAAAGGAGUAAAAGGAGAAGUUGUAUUACCAGAUACCAUUUGGGAAAUGGUAAGUUUGAGGCAUCUACAUAUAGAACCCCGUGCUGCUUUCAGUUUGCCGAAAGGCAGGCCAGCCUUCCGAUUACAGAAUCUUGAAACACUUUGUACACCAUGCUUUUCUUAUGGGAAUGAUACAAAGAAUCUGAUAAGAGCUUUUCCAAGUCUUCGGAAAUUGAAAUGCAUAUUUAUGGAAUCAUGGGAUCCAGUCAGUGACUGUAAUCGGUUUCCAGAUCUGGAGUCUCUAAGUCGGCUCGAAUCACUCAAGGUGAUUUACCAAGGUAUCUUGAGAAAAGUGCCCAAAUUUAACUUCCCUUCACAUCUUAAAAAAUUGACCCUAAAGAACUUCUGCCUUCCAUGGAGUGGAAUCUCAGAAAUUGCAACACUACCCAAUCUUGAGGUUCUCAAAUUAUUAUCUAGAUCCUUUGUGGGGGAAAUAUGGGAAAUGGGAGAUGAUGAGUUUCUUAAACUCAAAUAUUUGAAAUUAGACGCUCUGAAUUUGGCACAAUGGAAUGCUUCAAGUGAUCACUUUCCUCAUCUUGAGAGACUUGUGUUGCAUAAGUGUGAGGAUCUUGAAGAGAUACCUUCGUGUUUAGGAAGAGUACCUAAUCUGCAGCUGAUUGAGAUGGAGUGGUGCAAGAGAUCUGCUGAAAAUUCCGCCAGGCAAAUUCAGGAAGAACAGAAGGAUUUUGGAGGUGAUAUCAUUAUCAAGAUAAUCUCUAAAAAGGAGGUUCCUACACCAUCUUCUGAUUCACACUUACUCUGAUACGACAAUUAACUUCAAGCAUUCCCUUGCUGAAUAUUUCCUGCUUCUUCUAAUGUUCAUAUUCAUCAUUGUGGUGUUCAAGUAUCUUGGUCAUCGACACUUAAACUUCCAGGGCGGCAUCAAGAGUCUUGGUUCAAUCAAGUUAUCAGCAUUUCAUUUCCGAUGUUUGUACCACUCCCAGCGUUCAUAUUUGUCAAGCAUGGUGGCCUCAAAUGACGAAAAUGAUCAUUCCUUUAUGAUGUUACUACCUCUUUUGAGGUUCAUAGCUAGCAAGCAUUAUGGGUUUCAUUGUCGAAGUCUCUGCCUCUUCCAAUGUUCAUUUUCAUCCAGCAUGAUGACGUGCAGGUGUCUCAGUCCACAUUAACUAUCAGCUUUUCAUUUCUUCCCAAAGAAGUUGUGUUGUUUAGGCUAUCAUUUUCCUUUACGUUACAUGUCCCAUUCCAAUAAUGUUGAUUCCCAGGAAAUAAAUCAGAUUUUCAGUUGAAAUAAGGGAAUAUGUGGGAUUGUUGUUAUUUAUUAAAAAACAUUUUGAUGUUAAAUAAUUUUUGUCAUGCGACUGUCCAUAUUUUUGGCUAA